GCUGACACAUCCCAGCCAAUCAGCAGCAGACCCUCCCUCCUAGACCCUCCCAACUCCUGGACAGCAUCCAUUUUGAAGCUGCAUUCUUAGUGAGCUGUCCAGGAGAUGGGAGGGUCUGGGAGGGAGGGUCUGCUGCUGAUUGGCUGGAAUGUGUCAG